rnacentral:rRNA from 1 species
AGCUCCAAUAGCGUAUAUUAAAGUUGUUGCGGUUAAAAAGCUCGUAGUUGGAUUUCUGCUGAGGACAGCCGGUCCGCCCUUUGGGUGAGUAUCUGGAAUGGCCUGGGCAUCAUCUUGGGGAACGUUCCUGCACUUGACUGUGUGGGGCGGUAUUCAGGACUUUUACUUUGAGGAAAUUAGAGUGUUCCGAGCAGGCAUAUGCCCUGAAUAUAUUAGCAUGGAAUAAUAAUAUGGGACCUCGGCUCUAUUUUGUUGGUUUCUAGAUCUGAGGUAAUGAUUAAUAGGGAUAGUUGGGGGCAUUUGUAUUUAACUGUCAGAGGUGAAAUUCUUGGAUUUGUUAAAGACAGACUACUGUGAAAGCAUUUGCCAAGGAUGUUUUCA